rnacentral:rRNA from 1 species
UACGUAGGGGGCAAGCGUUGUCCGGAAUCACUGGGCUUAAAGCGCGCGCAGGCGGUCAUCUACGUCUGGGGUGAAAGCCCGGAGCUCAACUCCGGGAUUGCCUUGGAUACGGGAUGACUUGAGGAUCGGAGAGGCAAGGGGAAUUCCACGUGUAGCGGUGAAAUGCGUAGAGAUGUGGAGGAACACCUGUGGCGAAGGCGCCUUGCUGGCCGAUUUCUGACGCUGAGGCGCGAAAGCGUGGGGAGCAAACAGG